GUGGGGAAUAUUGCGCAAUGGGCGAAAGCCUGACGCAGCGACGCCGCGUGGAGGAUGAAGGUCUUAGGAUUGUAAACUCCUGUCAGAUGGAAAGAAAAUAUUACGUUUAAUAGACGUGAGGAAUGACGGUACCAUCAGAGGAAGCACCGGCUAACUUCGUGCCAGCAGCCGCGGUAAUACGAAGGGUGCGAACGUUAUUCGGAAUCACUGGGCGUAAAGGGUGCGUAGACGGUAUGUUAAGUUCGUUGUUAAAGGCUCCGGCCUAACCGGAGUUCUGCGAUGAAAACUGGCGUGCUAGAGGGUGAGAGAGAGAAGUGGAAUUCCUGGAGUAGCGGUAAAAUGCGUGGAUCUCAGGAGGAACACCAAUGGCGAAGGCAGCUUCUUGGCUCAUUCCUGACGUUGAGGCACGAAAGCGUGGGGAGCAAACAGGAUUAGAAACCCGAGUAGUCC
rnacentral:rRNA from 1 species